rnacentral:tRNA from 1 species
GACCGUGUGGCCAAGCGGAUAAGGCGUCGGACUUCGGAUCCGAAGAUCGUAGGUUCGAAUCCUGCCACGGUCG